UACGGAAGGGGCUAGCGUUGUUCGGAAUUACUGGGCGUAAAGAGCGCGUAGGCGGCUUACCAAGUUGGGGGUGAAAUCCCGGAGCUCAACUCCGGAACUGCCUUCAAAACUGGUAGGCUCGAGUCCGGAAGAGGGGCGUGGAAUUCCCAGUGUAGAGGUGAAAUUCGUAGCUAUUGGGAAGAACGCCGGUGGCGAAGGCGGCGCCCUGGUCCGGUACUGACGCUGAGGCGCGAAAGCGUCGGGAGCAAACAGG
rnacentral:rRNA from 1 species